AGCCGACCGCGGCCCCCGCUUCCGGGCGCCCGCGCGACCCGCGUUCUUCUCUUUCUCUCUUUUCUUUCCUCCUCCUGCUGCCUCUUCCCUCCCUGCGUCUUCUCUGGCACGGUGGGUCCUGUGCCCGUUGAGCUGUGUUCUUUUGCUUCCAUCACACCUGCCUUCACGGCCUCCGUUCCCCGUCUCAAAAUCUGACAAGCCACUCCCCUCCCUAUUCCUAGGGGACCCUCGCCUCCCUGCCCGGUGCGCUACCACACCCCAUCAUACCCAACCAACUUGCUUCCCCACCUGGCUUCUCACCCCCUACCCGUCUCCACUGCAGCCUUCUGCUCUUCCUUCCCACCCGUCCGGUGCCGCCUCGUCGCCCUCGCCUGAGCGUCUCCCAUCCCCAUUGUUUCUUCAUCAGCCUCCUUCGGGUUUCAGUAAACGCCUGGUUCCUUGCACCCAGAUCCCUGUUAUCCCUCAGGGCUGCCUCCCUUGAAGUGAUCCCCCACUUCCUUUGCUCCACUAGCUGCUUCCCCCAUCCCUUCCUGGCUUUCUGUUCCACCUUCCCUCCCCGUUUGGGUUACCUCAAUCAUCGCCUCUCUAGUAGCUUCAGUGUAGUUUCUUCGACUCAUUUUAUUUUAAAUACCAUACCCAGUUACCCGACUUUUAUUUCAGAUUACCUUCUUUGUGGGAGUGAAUGUAAAAGGAUUCAAUUUGGUGUAGGGAAAGCUUUCUGGAAAGUUGGGAUUUUUAUUUGCCUCUGGUGGAAUUUAAUCAUUGUGUUGUCCAUACUUUUGACUGGGGUGAGUUUGUGACUGUCAGCUCUGCCCCCCAGCUUUUCAAAUGGGGAUAUGGAAAAAGGCUUUUUGCUGAUACUCUUAUCAGUUCCCGGAACUGUUAACUCGGGCAGCUUGAAUUCAGAAGCUUGAGUGUUAAGCGUAGACUGUUGGAAUUCCAAAUGGAUUAAUAAAUUUACUUACAAAUAACAUACAUCCCUUAAAAAACAUUGGCAAAAUGAUGUUUGAUGAUGCUUGAGUUUGGAUACGUUUUAAUUAUGCCAGUUACCUUUUGAGGAACUAACUUCUCUUACACGACAUAGUAUUCGCCCAUUCGCUAACGUAGAUACAAUUAGUAGAGCUAACUCCUCGUAACUUUUUUCUAACCUGGAAGUCACCUGUAAUAUCAUCCUUUUUCUUUGCGCUCUUUUACCCCAGGGUACAAAGCUCAUUGGAUCACUCAAGCCAAUGGAGCUUAGACCUGAAACUUUUCAGGGAAAAAUAGGGAAAUAGUCACGAUAAGUGAGUUCCCUUUUAAAUGACUGGACACAUUAGUCUGACUGACUUUCAUCAUACAUGAAAGUUACUUUGCUUUACUGUUUGAAGCAAGAGUGAGCAUGCCCUGAAAGAUAAUUCACUGUCUGGAAGCCUGUUUUGAUUUCUCACUUGGACUUUGGCCGUAAAGUUUGCACUUUAAAAAAAAUGUACGAAAUGUAAAUUCUUCCAAGUUACUGUGCUCUUGAAUGCUGUUAGAACAAGUUUUUGCUACACAGAAGGCUAUUAUUCUUUGUGAUUGUUCCCCCACUGUGGAAAAAAGUUUUAAAUAAAAAGCAUUAGUGCUUGGUUCUUUCAGAUAUGCAUGCAGGCUGCUUUUAAACUCUCAGUCCUUGCUUGUCUUAGAGAAUGGAGAAUAUAUUUAAAUGGUGACACUCUUAUGAACAGAAAACUUUUUAAAAUGCAUCGUAAAGCCAUAUGUGAUUUUUUGAUUAUCUGAUACGUGUAGUAGACGUUUCUACUAUUUACGGCUCUUCAAAUGACUACUUGGUUUGCCCUACCAAAUCUUACAGUUUGCCCUGACACUGUGUUAAUUCUUUUGUUAGUUGUUUUCGGGUUUUUUUUUUUUUUUUUUUUUUUGGUAUGGGAGUAUGAAGAAACUACUGUGACUGUGUGAACUGUUUUCCUCUUUCCUCAUUCAAAAUAAGAAUCAAUAAGGCUUUUAAAAGUUUUUUUUUUUUUAUAAAGGUUUGUGUCUUAUUUCAAAUGUAGCAGUGGUUCUUUUAAAGCAUUGCCAAAAAGAGGAGAAAAUAGGUAGGGUUAGAAGAGUGCUAUUUGCAUGUGGUUUCAUAAAUGUUAUUAGCUAUUUCUCUUGUUAUAGCCAUUACUGCAGAUGCUAACUGGGAUUAGGUUUGGAGGAUAAUCUUGCAUUUGUCGUUCUUUUUCUCUACUACUUCUGUUUUUACACGUUCCCACCUUUUUGGAACUUGAAUAUACCUGGUAGUAUUUGAUUUAAAAAUAUAUGUGUAGUUAAUGGGCUUCUGUUUCUUUUCAAUGAGGUUUUAAAAUACAGGGAUACUAUCUUCCGUACAUUGUUGAUUAAAAUGUCCUGUAAUCAGUUCUCACUAAUAAAAUACCUUUAUCUUAGGUAAAGUCUGACCAGUCAGUGGUUUACUAAACAAAUACCUUCCUUGCACACACUAACAUGCUUUGAGAAAAUUAAGAAGUCUUCUACAGACAGUUCAUGGUGUUGACAUCAUGAACUUUAGGCUUUAAUACAGAAACCUGUCAUUUCAAGUAAUUUUUUGUCUUUUAGGAAUUUUUCUUUAUAGUGAAAGCUUAGUUUAUGUGCACCUUUUAAUGCCUCUAGCAACUGAUGCUUAUUUACAUGAAUCUAAUGAAAAUGCUUUCAUUUUAAAAUGGCAGCAUUUAACAAAAAAUAUGCUUAGGAUUGUUGUUUUUCCUAUAAGCCCUUAGAGUGUGGAGGUGGUUUCUGUGCAGUUUCUCGCCAAGAUCUUUCCAUAUUAGGAAGUGAUUAUUAAUAAUCCAUGAAUUAUGGCUUAAUUCAUACUACAUUAUAUACUUACUGAAGAAAGAUCUUUUUGCUUUGCUUAUACUGUAGGUGUUAGUGGAUAAUAGUGUUGAGUAGCAUCCCUAGUGUGAAAGAGUUGUCAAACUUGAAAUAUGUUUGUAAAAAUAAACACGAUUUCCAUUUAAUUUUAGGCCUUUAGUAGCCAUAAUCAAGGUAGAGGAAUAGCAGCCCUUAUAUUUGAAGGACUUCAGUUUUCCAGGCACUUUCUCAUCAUCUCAUUUAAUCCUGUCUCACAGCUGGAGGUGGGGGCAAUUCAUAUACAUAGAAAGUAGCUUCUAAUUCCAUUUAGUAGUAUAGAAUGCUUAAAAGAACCAUAAUUAUUGCAAGAUAGAAAAAACAAAUUUUUUUUUUUUUUUUUUUUUGAGACGGAGUCUUGCUCUGUCGCCAGGCUGGAGUGCAGUGGUGCGAUCUUGGCUCACUGCAACCUCUGCCUCCCAGGUUCAAGAGAUUCUGCCUCAGCCUCUUGAGUAGCUGGGACUACAGGCGCACGCCACCACACCCAGCUAGUUUUUGUAUUUUUAGUAGAGACGGGGUUUCACCAUGUUGGCCAGGAUGGUCUGGAUCUCUUGACCUCAUGAUCCGCCCACCUCAGCCUCCCAAAGGGCUGGGAUUACAGAUGUGAGCCACCGUGCCUGGCCCACGAUUUGUAAUUUAUAACUUCUUAAUAUAAAAAUCAUUUUUAUCUGAUCUUACGAUCUUUAGUCUUAACCCCCCCCCCUUUUUUUUUGAUACAGGGUCUUGCUCUGUCACUGGUGUGCAGUGGCAGGAUCAUGGCUCACUGCAGCCUUAUCCUCCUCAGGCUCAAGAAAUCCUCCCACCUCAGUCUCCCAAGUAGCUGGGACUAUAGGCAUGUGCCACCACGCCUGGUUAAUUAAAGAAACUUUUUAUUUUUGGAGAGAUGGGGGUCUCCCUAUGUGGCCCAGGCUGGUCUUGAACUCCUGGGCUCAAGUAAUCCUCCUGCCUCAGCCUCCCAGAGUGCUGGGAUUACAGGUGUGAGCCAGCAUGCCUGGCCCUUAUCCUAUUUUUUGAUAUGAAUUCUUAAUUUUCUUUAUUCUUAUUUAAUUUACUAUCCUUGGACAUUUAUAUUUUGACAUAUUUCACUGAAAUGUAAUAUUUUUACUAAUGGCUGUAAUGUCACCUUUUUUUUAAUGUCUCCUUUUUUUUUAAAAUGAGGUGGGUCUUACUCUGUUGCCCAGGCUGGAGUGCAGUGGUGGAAUCACAUCUCACUGCAGCCUUGACUUCCCAGGUUCAGACAAUCUUCCUGAGUAGCUGGGACCACAGGCAUCUGCUACCAUGCACAGCUAAUUUUUAAUUUUUGUACAGACGGGGUCUCCUUGUGUUGCUUAGCCAGGUCUCAAACUCCUGGGCUCAAGGAUCCUCUCUACUAGCUGAGGCUCCUAAAGUGCCGGGAUUAUAGGUGUGAGUCACCAUAUCCUGUAUGUCUCUGUUUUUUAAUUCAUAUUUUCCCCAGUUAAUUUACAGGGACAUUUCAUUUCAACCACUGCCUUAUCUUUUCUAAAACAAAAUCAAGAUCAAGUUCUUACUAAGCAUCCAUUAUCAACAUAUCUCUGGUAGAUACAGCAUGGUUAUUUGUGUGUUGUGAUCUGGAUCUAGAAAUUGGAAAUAAGUUUUUAAAAAGUAAGAUUUGAAUAUUUUGCAUAUGUAGAAGGUGGAAUUUGUAUUUGGGCUAGUGGUUUGUGUAACUACAUUAAAAAUGUGUAUAACAUACCAGACUGUACCUGAAUUAAUUCCCUUUUAAAGCACAAAUGGUUUCUGAUGUCUCAGUUAAUAAUAUCUUAUGGGUGCUUAGUUUGCGUAUUGUCAGGAAGGAUCUGGUAACAACUAGGAUGUGAUUUCUAAGAAGAUGCAUGUAAGGAAGAAAUAAAGUAGAAGAUCUGUCCCAGGAUAUCUUUUAUUUAAAAGUAAGGUAACUGGGACUUUUUUUUUUUUCGAAAGGAUCUUGUUUUAAAAAAACAGUUAUUUUGUAAUUAAUGUCUGGGCUUCCUAUUCUUUCCUAUAAGAAUUAGUCAUAUGAUUUAUAUUUUCAUUUUUCAUUAUCCUUAGUAGUCUUUUAGUAGUUUUGCAAUACAGAAAAUAGAAAUAGAGUUAUCAAAGUGGUAGUAAUGAGUAAGAUUUGGUUACACAUGUCAAAUGCCUGAGACAUUUUAUUUAUUUUUAUUUUUUCUGUCACCGUGGCAGAACAGAAUGCCUGAGGUAUAUAAUAAAAUUCACAAAUGUAUCCUUUUUCCUCCCAGAUAUGUCCAGUUAAGUUUCUGAACAGUAUGUAUUUUAAAAGAGGAACUCUAAAGAGAACUUAAUAUUCACCUAUUUUUUGUAGCCGCUUAUUCAUAAUUAGCAAAUGAAUUCUGAAAUACUUUCAUAAUUAUUGUUCGCUGAUGGAUUUAUUUGCUAUGUUAAGAAAUAGUAUUAGACUUUGGGCAUCUAUACCUUUUAUGUUUAAUGAAUAUUUUAUGUAUCUGGAUAAUUUUUAAAGGUGUCUUUGAAUUUAAAGUUACUAUGGCAGGUGAGAAGUGAAACACUUUAUAAGAAAUGAUUGACAUUUUUCUUUCAUAUGCUUUGUGAGACAUUUAUAUGAAAUAUUUACUUUGAUGUUUAAAAAACACUGAUUGUUUAAAAAUAAUCAAUUUUAAUAAUCAGAAUUGCUUUCAUUCAAAUAAAUUUAUUUGGCCAUGAUAAUCAUUUAGAAUAGUUAAUGUGAAAGUUCACGGUAGACAUAGUUGUUUCUCCUUUGUUUUCUUCAGCUCUAAAAUGCUUAAUUUCAUGAUUUCUCACUUAAAAUAAAGAAGUAAGAAAAAUAAACUUACAGGCUCCUUGGCAAGAGGUUAGAGCCCUACCAGGAAGAAGUAGCCUUAGACUUUCAAAGUAAAGGCUUAGUAUUUGCUCUUCGUGUUCUUUUGGUAGCUAAAGUGGCAUUUCCGUUACUUUGUGUUCUGUCUUAGUAUGUUCCCAGUUAAACUGCUUUAUAUGUUUCUCUAGAGACUCAAAAUUUUGGACUUGACCUUUUAGAAUUUUGUAUGUUCACUGUGUAUAUGAAUCAUUUUGGGCAGUUAGAUAGUUCUUUAAACUCUUAGGUUCUUGAUGAACCUAAGCCUUUGUAUUAAAAAUUAUUUUUAGAGUUUUGAUUUGUCAGAUUAUCAGAAAAUUAAGGAUUUCUCAAGUUAUAUUAUUACCAAGAUAUAUUAUAUCUUGGUAAUAAUAUAGGAUUUCUCAGGUUAUAUUAUUACCAAGAUAUAUUAUAUCCCCCACGAAAGUGGUACAUUUGUUAAAAUUGAUGGACCUACAUUCACACAUCUUUACCACCCAAAGUCCAUAGUUUACAUUAGGGGUUUUUUUUUUUUUGAGACAGAGUUUCGCUCUUGUUGCCCAGGCUGGAGUGCAGUGGUGCAAUCUCAGCUCACUGCACCCUUCGCCUCCUGGGUUCAAGGGAUUCUCCUGCCUCAGCCUCUCAAAUACCUGGGAUUACAGGUGCCCACCACCACGCCCAGCUAAAUUUUUGUAUUUUUGAUAGAGAUGGGGCUUCACCAUGUUGGCCAGGCUGGUCUCGAGCUCCUGACCUCAGGUGAUCCACCCACCUCGGCCUCCCAAAGUGUUGGGAUUACAGGCGUGAGCCACUUCGCCCAGCCAAGGUUUACUCUUGCUGUUUGUAUGUUCUAUGGGUUUGGCCAAUUGUAUGGCAUAUAUCCACUGUUGUAGCGGUACAAUGUUUAUCUGCCCUGAAAUACUCUGUGCUCUCCCUAGCCAUCCCUUGUCUUCCCCAACCACUGGCAACCACUAUUUUUUGUUAACUGUCUCCAUAGUUUUGCCUUUUCACGAAUGUCAUAGUUGGAAUCAUACAGUCUAUAGCCUUUUCAGAUUUUCUUUUUUUCACGUACUAAUAUGCAUUUAUGAUUUCCUCAAUGGCUUUUCAUGGUUUGACAGCUUUUUUUUCUUUUGCACUUGACUAUUCUAUUAUCUGGAUAUACCAGGGUUUAUUUGUCCAUUUACUUAUUGAAGGACAUCUUGGUUGCUCCCUAGUUUUGGCAAUCGUGAAUAAAGCUGCUAUAAACAUCAAACAUCUGUGUGUGUGUCUUUUGUGUGGACAUAAGUUUUCAGUUCGUUUGGGUAAAUAGCAAGGAACACAGUUGCUGGAUCAUAUGGUAAGAGUACCUUUAGUUUUGCAAGAAACCUCCAAACUGUCUUUCAAAGUGAUGGUACCAUUUUAUAUUCCCACCAGUAAUGAAUGGGAGUUUCUGUUCGCAUUCUCACCAGCAUUUGAUAUUGUCACUGUUAUGGGUUUUGGCCAUUCUAAUAGGUGUGUAGUGGUAUUGUUUUAAUUUGCGUUUUCCUGAUUAUGUGACAUCUUUUCAUAUGCAUACUCGCCAUCUUUAUAUCUUGUUUAGUGAGGUGUCCGUUAAGGUCAUUGUCCUGUUCUUAAAGUCAGGUUCUUUGUUUUCUUAUUGUUGAGUUUCGAGAGUUGUAUAUUUUGAAUAACAGUCCUUUAUCAAAUGUAUCUUUUUUUUGAGAUGGAGUCUUGCUCUGUCUCCCGGGCUGGAGUGCAGUGGGGCCAUCUCAUUUGACUGUAAGCUCUGUCUCCCAGGGGCUCAAGCAAUUCCUCUGCCUCAGCCUCCCAAGUAGCUGGGAUUACAGGUGUCUACCAUCAUGCCUGGCUAAUUUUUGUAUUUUUAGUAGAGAUGGGGUUUGACCAUAUUAGCCAGGCUGGUCUUGAACUCCUCAUCUCAGGUGCUCCACCUGCUUCAGCCUCCCAAAGUGUUGGGAUUACAGGCAUGAGCCACCGAGCCCAGCUAUCAAAUGUAUCUUUUGCAAAUAUUUUCUCCUAGUCUGUGCCUUGUCUUUUUCAUUCUCUUGACAAUGCCUUUCACAGAGCAGAAAAUUUUAAUCUUAAUGAAGUCCAGUUUAGCAGUUCUUUCUUUCAUGGGUCAUGCCUUCAUCAUUGUAUUUAAAAAGUCAUCAACAAACUCAAGGUCAUCUAGAUUGUCUUCUGUGUCACCAUCUGGGAGCUUUAUAAUUUUGCAUUUUACAUUUAGGUCUGUGAUCCAUUUUGAGUUAAUUUUUAUGAGUGUAAUGUCUGUCUCCAGAUUCAUUUUUUUUGCCUGUGGAUAUCUAGUUGUGCAGUACUGUUUGUUGAAAAGAUUAUCUUUGCUGCAUUGUGUUGCCUUUCUCCUUUGCUGGCAGUGGUUCUUAAGGUGUGGUCUGGGGACUUCUGGGGGUCCUCAAGACCAUUUCAGCAGGUUUAUGAGUUCAAAACUAUUUUCAUAUACUAAGACAUUAUUUGCCUUUUCUAUUUUUAUUCUUUCACCACUGUACAGUGGAGUUUUCCAGAGGCUAUGUGAUGUGUGAUAUUGCAGCAGAUUGAAUGUAGUAGCAGAUAAUGAUAAUUCAGCUAUUUCCUAUUAAGCCACAAAAUAGAGUUUUGCAAAAAUGUGAAACAGUGCCACUCUUCUAAAUUGUGGGGUUCUUUUUUGAAAAUACUGUUAUUUUUCAAAUGAAUUAAUGUUGAUAAAUUUCUCAGUUUCAGUUUCUAGCAGUAAAUAUUGAUAGAGAACCCCCACAUGAAAGCUCUUGGGUCCUCAGUUUUAAAAGUGUAAAGGUUCUGAGACUAAAAAAAUGCACCUUUAGGGAUGAGUGUGUAUUAGAAGGGACAAAAGAGUACUCAAAGAGGAACUAGAUUUAAGGGAUCCUUUGAAUUCUCAGAGUAACUUUGGAUUUGAUUUUGUAGGUAACAGUGCCCCAACUUUUGGAGGAUUUCAAGCAAGAGAUGUGAUACCAUAAUCCCUAUGUCCACUUUAUGUCCAUAAGUAGGUUGGAGGGAGUGUUCAGUGUGACUUGGAAAGGAAACUGCUGGGGCAAAAAAGUCUUAACAAUAAUAUUUAAAUUUUUUUCCCAAAGGCCAUAAAAAUUAGUUAUUAAUUGGAACUCUUGAUUAUUUGUCCUUUCUCUCUGUUUUUUUUUUUUUUUUUUUUUUUUUUUUAUGUCAAAACUAUCCUUUUUUGUGAAAGCUAGGCAGGUUAGGUAUCAAUUGUGCCAAAAGUUCUUGACUACCAAACCGUUAGCCUUUGCACAUAUGAUUCCUUGGACUAAAGACAGGGUCUUGCUCUGUCACCCAAGCUGGAGUGUAGCGUCAUGAUCAUGGCUUACUGUAACUCUGAACUCUUGGGCUCAAGGGAUUCUCUUGCCUCAGCCUCCUGAGUAGGUAGGACUACAGGUGUGUGCCACCAUGCCCUGCUAAAGAGAAAAAGAUCUCUUGCCUAGGCUGGUCUCGAACUUCUGGCCUUGGCCUCCCAAAGUGCUGGGAUUAUAAGUGUGAGCCACCAUGCUCGGCCUCUUUUAAACUUUCUUUACCUUGCUCCCAUUAAUAUUCACAUUUAAAGUAACUGCUUUCAUAAAAACAUCACUCAAUAACUCCCCCGGUCCUGUCAGUCCAGCAUUAUUCUCACCAUUUAUAAAGUUUCAAAUAUUGUUAAACUGUAGUGGCUAUCUUGCUUUUAUGUAUUUUGGGUUUAUGCACAUUUCGUCCGUAGAAUAGGAAUUGUUUUCUGUAUUGUUCUCUAUCUCUUCUCCAAGUACCUAGUCAACAACCCCCCAUGGGUGCUUAGUAAAUAUUGAAUGAUUAUACCUAACCUCCCUUCAUAGCUCAGACUAUUCCAUGAACAAUUUAUGGACAUAAAAAUCUAUGCCAGUAGACAUUUAAGGAUUCUUUUAUGGUGACUAUGGAAAUUGCCUGGUUACAAAUUUAUAUAUAGAGUCAGUAACAUUCAUAAAAACAUAACAAAUUACUGUUUCAUGGAACUCAUGGGGCAUUAAGAGGUUUAUUUAGUUUUGUUUAGAUACAAGGUAAUGUCUUCCAAAACACUGUUACUUCAAAAUUUUUGUAGCUGCUCCAGUUGAACACUAUAUUAAAAUGCACAUUUUUGAGGACAUUUUCUUGAAAUUAGGAAUGUAAUUUUUAAGAAUUAAACAGAGGACCAGAAAUAGAUCUGAAGAGUUUAUCAGAGCCGCUUCCUUGCACAACUCUAGAAGGUGCCUAUCACACCUUUUUGUAUGAAAGGUGCCUCCUAGAGUGUAACUGUACAGUAGACUCAUUUUUGAUAUAAGAAGGGAUAAAGCACACUUAACAGAUGAUAUCAAAAUGUAAAAGAAAAGAAGUGUCUGUUUUAGAAGGCAGCUGUAUGAGAUAUUAGGCAAAGGUUAGGGUGGUGGUAGUGAUGGUGGUAAAAAUAGGAUCACUUAAUCUAGAUUACUUAAUCAGUAAGUUGAUUCCAGGGGCCAGUGGGAAUUGCUGAAAGUUUCAUCUGAAUACAUGGAAUUUUUAGCAGUGAUUAGGGGAAUGGUGCUGGUAUUUAUAGCCAUAAACUUAUUACUUGAAAGCAUCCUAGGGACCCAAGUCUUAAUCAAGGGGCAGUUCUUCCAAGUAGUGGUUGAGGAAGUUGGGCAUGCUUUCCAAAACUUCUUUCCUCACUAAAGAUUGCAGAUAUACUCUGUAAGUGACUUCGCAGAAUAUACUCAGUUGUCAUAUUUUAAUAUACAUGUUCUGAUUAUAGGUCCCACGUGACUAUAAGCUCUGAGAUCAAGGGUCAUCUUUGAGGGGGUGUGUGUGUGCACUUAAAAUUUUAUGUGCUGGUAAUAGUUAUCUUGUGGAUGUUUAAGAAAUAGAAAUGCGUGCCAUAUUUUAAAUACAUCUUAUAUGCAAAAAUUUUAAUGUAAUUUAAGUAUAUCGCAAAAAGUAAAUAGCGGGUGGUAUUCACACUGCAGAGGAUUGGCAAAUCUUUUUGAUAUACUUCAAACAAUUGCUUGCAGAAAUCCGACUCAUUCACUGUAUUGAAUAAUUUGAAACAUUAGCAUUAACUAAUUCCAAAGCUAAGACAAAGAGAUUUUGAGGUGAGGUGAUAAAUGUAUGCUGUUGUCCUUCAGUAUCUAUAGGGGAUUGGUUCCAGGACCUCCCACAGAUAAGAAAAUCCAAGGGUGCUCAAAUCAUUGAAGAAGUCUUCUUAACAGAAAUAAUGUAAACCUAACUUUGAUCUGAAGGAAGAAAUUUUAUAAAAGAAACCUUUCAGUCUUCAGGGAUUCACAAAGUCUGAUAAAAAUUGGUGUAUUAGUCCAUUCUCAUGCUGCUAUGAAGAAACACCCAAGACUGGGUAAUUUAUAAAGAAAAGAGGUUUAAUUGACUCACAGUUCUGCAUGCCCCAGGGAGGCCUCAGGAAACUUACAAUUAUGGCAGAAAGGGAAGCAAACAUGUCCUUUUUCACAUGAUGGCAGGAGAGAGAAGUGCCCCUUAUAAAACCAUCAGAUCUCAUGAGAACUCACUCACUAUCAUGAGAACAGCAUGGGAGAAACUGUCGCUAUGAUUCAGUUAUCUCCACCUGGUCCUGUCCUUCACGUGGGGAUUGCUACAACUCAAGGUGAGAUUUGGGUGGGGACACAGAGCCAAACCAUAUCAGUUGGUUUAGUUAGGACAUACAAAAUGGGGAGAAUAGCUAACCUUUAAGGAAACCUUUCUAUGUCUUGGGCAAUUGACAUGUGUUAUUAACACAAUGUUUAUACAAACCUAUUCAUCAGAUAGUCUUAUCGGCUCUAUUUUCCAGAGGCUUAAACUAAAACACUAUUAGUAAGAAGACAUAGAGAAUAAAUCUAACAUUUAGAUGGCGAUGAAGAACCUUGACUAGAGGUCAGGCAAUCUGAAGGGGAGCUUCUUAGCUCACAGAAAACUUAUAUAGAAUGAGAUAUAGAUAGGAGAGAGCUUUUCUUUGAGAAAUAUAAUUUAUGUAAAUAUGUAAGAUUACAUUUUGAGAUGUCAACUUUCUAUACUUUUUUUUUUUUCUUUUUGAGGUGGAGUCUCACUCUGUUACGCAGGCUGGAGUGCAGUGUUGCAGUGUCAGCUCACUGCAACCUCUGCCUCCCAGGUUCAAGUGAUUCUCCUGCUUCAGCCUCCCAAGUAGCUGGGACUGUGAGUGCACGCUACCAUGCCCGGCUAUUUUUAGUAGAGAUGGGGUUUCACCAUGCUGGCCAGACUGUUCAGGAACUCCUGACUUCAAGUGAUCUGCCCACCUCCAUCUCCCAAAGUGCUGGGAUUAUAGGAGUGAGCCACCACUUUAUCUUAAGAUAAAUUUUCCAUAUACUUCAAGAGGAGUAAGCUCUAACUGGAAUGUAGGGUACUGACCCUAGCUCCAUAUGACCUCAAAAAAAUCUGUUACUAAAAUAGUUUGUUUUCUAAAUUGCCUUUUUGCUCUGUUAUUCUGUGAUGCUAUAAUUGUGCUCCUUUAGCUUUUUUUGUUAUAGGCUUGGUCCUUUGGAAACGAAUACCAGGAACAGUUUCUCUCUGAGCCUUUGCUUCAUUCUCCACCAGAGUAUUCUGUCCCAUCUACUAGUGUAUCAUUAUUUGAAAAACAGUUUGAAUUUGCAUGUCUUAUUAUCAUUGGUAGGAAUAGGUGGCAUUGUCUUAUGUGAUUCUUGUUUUAGGAGGAAAUGGGCAACAAAAAUGUGAAUUUUCAGCUGGGUGUGUUGGUGCAUCCUUGUAGUCCCAGCUACUCAGGUGGCUGAGGUGGCAGUAUUUCUUGAGGCCAGUAGUUUGAGGCCACCUUGUACAACGUAGCAAGACCGCUAUCACGUAAAAAAUAAUAGUAAUAACAAUAAACUAAUUUUUUUCCAGUGUGUAUCUUGGAUGCCAAAAAAAAAAAAAGGGAGUUUCUUUCUACCUUUAUUAAAAAUUGUCUUGUAUGUGUUGACUGUUGUUCAGAUUACAGGGAUCAGCUGAGGGUGUAUAAGGAGCAUCACUAAUCCAUCACCGUUUAUGUUCUACCACAGUGACAUCAUCUUAAAAUUAUUAAGUGAGGAAUUGAUGGAUAAUUGCUUCACCUUUAUCUCUUAAUUUUAAUUAUUCAGAAACACAGAAAUGUAAACAUUAUUAUUGUUGCCAGGAUCCUUAAUUUAAUUUGCAUGAUGGAAGGACUGUGUUUCUUAAAUUAUAUGAAUGCUGUGUAUAUGUAUUGUAGAAUGGGGAAUUGCAUGUAUCUGUUUAAUAUUAGAACUCUGUAAUAGGUCAAGGCUGCAUCAGUUUUUGUGGCUAUAAUUGCUUGCACAUUUUUGGCUUAUAACCUUUUGUGUACCAGUGACAACCAUUAAGAGCCAGAAAAGUUUGCUUUUACUUGCAGUACAUGUACAUCUAGUUUUGAGUUAUUUGUCAAAAAAGGGUGACCUUUCUUUUUGGCUUUUUUUUUUUUUCUUUUUUGCUUUUUGUGACUUGAAAUUAAGCAACUUACUAAUAUAGUUCUUUUUUUUUUUUUUUUUUUUUUUUUUGAGACAGAGUCUUGCUCUGUCGCCCAGGCUGGAGUGCAGUGGCGCGAUCUCUGCCCACUCCUGGGUUCGAGCAGUUAUCCUGCCUCAGCCUCCUGAGUAGCUGGGAUUAUAGGCUCUCAUCACUAUGCCUGGCUAAUUUUUGUAUUUUGUUUUUAGUAGAGAUGGAGUUUUGCCAUGUUGGCCAGGCUGGUCUUGAACUCCUGACCUCAGGUGAUCCACCCACGUCGACCUCCUAAAGUGCUGGGAUUACAGGCGUGAGCCACCUCACCUGGCCUGAUGUAGUUUAGAAUUAUCUUUAAUUGUGUCCAAUAUGUAGUUUUACCUAGCAAACUAGUUUUAAUUGUUGGUACUUUUUUUUUUAACUUCUCUAAGUUCAUCUACCUUCAGAUUGCAUCUUUGGAAAGGGAGGGGCAGAAUUUUGGAAGGCAGCAGUUCUCUUAGAUGAGUAGAAAAGAGGCCAGGCAUGGUGGCUCAUGCCUGUAACCCCUGCACUUUGGGAGGCCAAGGCAGGUGGAUCACCUGAGGUCAGGAGUUCGAGACCAGCCUGGCCAAUAUGAUGAAACCCCGAGAUUGCGCCACUGCACUCCAGCCUGGGUGACAGAGUGAGACUCUGUCUCAGGGAAAAAAAAAAGAAAAAAUGGAAAAGAAAAGAAAAUGAAUUUCACUAAUUAACAGUUACUGGCUUUAUUUCAGGUGAGCUGUCAUGUGGGAAUUUGUCUGGUUUUGAGAUAUAAGAUCAGUGUGAAGAUUUAUUGAUACAUACAAAAUGGAGUGGGUUGCUCUGCAAUGAAUUUGUGUAUUAAAACUGAAUAUCAAAGAGAAAAUAAGUUAACAGGAUAGUUGCAUUUGAUCUUUUGGUAUGGAACUGGAGUAAAGUUCUAUUUGUGGGUUUUUUUUUGUUUUUGUUUUUUUUGUGACAGUCUUGCUUUGUCACCCAGGCUGCAGUGCAGUGGCACAGUCUCAGCUCACUGCGCUGGGUUCCAGUGAUUCUCAUGCCUCAGCCUCUCGAGUAGUUGGAAUUAUAGGUGUGCACCCAUCAUGCCUGGCUAAUUUUUGUAUUUUUAGUAGAGUUGAUAUUUUGUAUAAAAAUUAUUUAUACAAAAUAAUUUUGUAUUUUGCCAUAUUGGUCAGGCUGGUCUGGAACUCCUAGCCUCAUGUGAUCCACCCGCCUUGGUCUUCCAAAGUGCUGGGAUUACAGGUGUGAGCCACCGCACCCGGCUGAUUUGUUCUUUAUGUGGUCACUUUGCCUCCCAUCUUCAGAAUUGGAAGAUAUACCCACAUUAUCCUUAUUCCCAUUUGUAUAUUUCCUUUUUGAAGUAAAACCAGCUGUUUAAUGGCUGAAAAGUUACAGUUUAGCAGGCGGUAAUUUUUCUUUUCUUUUCUUUUCUUUCUUUUUUUGAGACGGAGUUUCGCUCUUACUCCCCAGGCUGAAGUGCAAUCGUGCUAUCUCGGCUCACCGCAACCUCUGCCUCCCAGGUUCAAGCGAUUCUCCUGCCUCAGCCUCCCAAGUAGCUGAGAUUACAGGCAUGCGCCACCACGCCCGGCUAAUUUUUGUAUUUUUAGUAGAGCUGGGAUUUCACCAUGUUGGCCAGGAUGGUCUCAACCUCCUGAUGUUGUGAUCUGCCCGCCUCAGCCUCCCAAAGUGCUGGGAUUACAGGUGUGAGCCACUGCACCCGGCCUAUUUUUCUUUUCUUAACAUUAGCUUUAGUAAUUUUUUUCACAGAACUAUGUAUUUGUGUAUUUGUUAUCAGGUUUGGAAUUUGUGUUGGCUAUCAAUUUAAUAUAAAGUCUUAGACUUUAUAGACUUAUAAACCCUCAUUUAUUUUUGUUCAUCGUAUUCUUGCAAAAUAUUGUUUUGACUUGGUGACCUAGAGUGGAUCAAGGCACUGUCUUCAAGUGGUUUCUGUAGUAGCCUAUCCUAGAAACACUGCCUGACAUAGCUGAGUGGUAAUGAAAAACAGCCAUAGGUACUAACUUAAAAAUUAGCUGUAGAAUUGCAACUGACAGCUAAGUUAGAAAGCUAUUUAUAGAGCAGCUUGGGAUACUAAGAUACUCCUUGACUGCAUGAAGGUGCAGUGCAAGGAGAGAACCAUUUCUUCCCAUCAGGAGAUUGGAAACCUUUUUUUUUUUUUGAGACGGAGUUUUGGCCUUGUUGCCCAGGUUGGAGUGCAGUGGUGGGAUCUUGGCUCACUGCAACCUCCACCUCCUGAGUUCAAGAGAUUCUCCUGCCUCAGCCUCCCAAGUAGCUGGGAUUACAGGUGCCCGCCACCAUGCCCGGCUAAUUUUUUAUAUUUUUAGUAGAGACGAGGUUUCAUCAUGUUGGCCAGGCUUGUCUCGAACUCCUGACCUCAGGUGAUCUGCCCGCCUCAGCCUCCCAAAGUGCUGUUACUACAAGCGUGAGCCACUGCACCCAGCCGGAAACCUUUUAAGAGAGAAACUUAUUAAUAUAAGUUGCUUCCUGUCCUUGGGCUUAUAGAUGUAAUCUAGAAUUGAUUUUUCUUUGACUUUCUUCUUCAGAGUUACAUUUUCAUAACUUAAUGACUAACCAAGAAUAUGUUACAACUGUUGAGGCCCCUUUUAACAUAGUUUACCCCUUCUGCUAUUACUUAGAAUUGAUAGUAAUUACAUCUCUAGGGCAAAAGAUGACUGGAAAAUUGCUCUGUGUUCUUCUCAUAUAACAUCAUAUAAGACCUGUUCACCUAAAAUCUAGUGAGUUGAUUUAGUUUGUUCUCUGACAUUCUUGGCUUCUUUAAACUUGCUUAUAAAUUAAGGCUUGCAGUUUGAGUCAUUUGGAGAUGGGGAAUGCCCAGAACUUUUGCAACUUGUGAACCUGAGUUGAAUAAUGUGUCGCUUUCCUCAUAGUCUGUCAACUUUAGUUCAUUGUGUGCGCAAAGAAGAUGAUUAUGCCAAUGAGGAUUAUACUAAACCAGACAAGAGGUAGCCUACUGUGUAUACUAGGAAUUAGAUUUGUGAGAACUAAACACAACACUGAAUUGGUGACAAUGUGUUCAGUUUAGAGUAAUUAGAGAAAAUGAUAACAAGUCUCACUCAGACCACAUGGAAAUGGGGGUAGAGUGUGUGUGUGUCGUGUAUGUGUGUCUUCAUUUAUUCCGCUAGUGGAAAGGUUACUGUUUGAAAAAUGUAGUUCCAACACAACCACUAGUUUGUGCUACUUUAGACAAGUAUUUAAAUCUUUGCAAUGGAGAUCUUAUAAUAGAGCAUUCCUUGCCUUGGCACAAGGGUGUUGUUAAAUUGGAAGGCUAAGGAUAUGAACGAAUUUUGUAAUGUAUAAGGAAAUCUUGGCCAAGCACGGUGGCUCAUGCCUGUAAUCCCAACACUUUGGGAGGCCAAAGUGGGAGGAUCACUUGAGGCCAGGAGUUUGAGACCAGCCUGGGCAACAUAGUAAGACCUUGUAUUUACAGAAAAUUUAAAAAUUGGCUGAGUGUGCUGGCAUGUACCUGUAGUCCCAGCUACUCUAGUCUGGGUGACAGAGCAAGACCCUAUCUUUAUUAAGAAAGAAAGAAAUCAUAUGUGCAUUAUAAAGAUUUUGCCACUCUUAAGAUUGAGUGCAAGAAUCUAUGGUAACACUUCCCAGUUGAUGAAGAAAUUGGGCAUUAGAUAAUGAAGGUUUUGCAGCAGUAAUUGAGUUUGAGGUAUUUUCAUAACACUGUAUUGGAAAGGUGACAGAGGAACUGUCUCCUAAAAUGAGGGAAAACAUCAAUACAAAAUGAUGGUAAGAAAGAAAUAAAAGUAUUUGUAAUGGUGCUUUAAAGCUUUUAAAGCUUUAGGGUACUUUUAAAGUACCCUAAAUAUAUCACCUUACUCAGCCAAGAUGUUGUGAAAAUUAAGUAUUAAUCAUAUUUUUUAAAUGUUGAAAUGGAAACCGAGUGACUAAUUAACAUGCCUGAAAUCACAGUGGUGAAUCAUGAAUCUCGAAUUUGAUUCUAGAUUUUUUUGCUCAUUCUGAUGUGUUGCUUAGUCUUGUUAUAGUACAGUUGUAGCACAUGGAAAUGGAUGGGACCAUGCAUGGAAGCCAGAGAGUCUAGAGCAGAACUUCAGUGAUGGCAAAUUAAAAUCUUCAUUAUCAGUAUUUGAAGCAGAGAUUGAAAAUUAAUAGCUCUUAGGACAGACUAUCAAAUAAAUGUGAGCCAGAAGAGUUUUAAUGGGAGAAAUUAACUUUAAUGAAAUAUCUUGUAGAAAGAGCUAAAAACAAGAUACCUGCCAAUCCCAGUCAUUCUGGAGAGUAUCUAAUAUAGCAAUGAAAGUAAAAACUAGUUAACAUUCUCCAGUGUUUGUCAAGUUUAGGAAGAGAUUAACUUGAAAAGUAGUAGUUGGGUAGAAGGUUUAUUCGAAGAUCGUUUGGCAUCAUAGCAAAAAAAAAGUUGGUGAAAGAUGGGUACUGUAGAAUGAUGGGAGAAAGAUGAUUAAAUUUCCCUUCCUACUUGUCUAGACCACUUAAAAUUUAUAUUACUUUCUCACACAAGCCAGGAUAAAGAUACACUCUUUAAGAAAUUUAGGAGACUCUUCAUAUAUCCAUUCAUAGAUAGAAUGUGGUUUUGAAAAUAAAUAGGAUAUUAUCUAAAUAUAGAUCUAUAUAAAAUUUUAUAAUUCCUUUUAAGAAAGACAUUUGUCAGGAAGUGAAAUUGUCAGACUUUUUAAUGCUGAGAAAUAGGUGAAUGUGGUAUAAAGUUAUAUGGAGUCUUUUUUUUUUCUUCAAUUUCAAGACAGGGUCUCACUAUGUUGCCUAGGCUGGAGUUCAGUGGCUAUUCACAGUUGACAUCAUUGCAUACUACAGCCUCAAACACUUGGGCUGAAGUGAUCCACCCACCUCAACCUCCUGAGUGGCUGGGACUACAGGUGCAUACCACUGUACCCUUCUAGGAAUCUUAUAAGAACAGUUGUAUGGUUAUGAGGUGUAUGAGGAUAGAGAUUUUUUUUUUUUUUUUUUUUUUUGAGACGGAGUCUCGCUCUGUCACCCAGGCUGGAGUGCAGUGGCGCUAUCUUGGCUCACUGCAUAGAGAUAUUUUUUGUCCUGGUGACUAUUUCUUCUUGUAGAAUAAUCCUGGUGAUUUUUCCUUCUUGUAGAAACUUAAAGGCUUAAGAUUAAACUUAUUAGGAAAAAUAACUUUGGCUUUAUUUUGUAGUGAUUUAUUAAUGGCUUUAUUUUAUAGUGAUAUAUUAAUAAUGUAUUAAAAUUGCUCAUAUUUUCCACUUAUGGAGUAUUAUUUCAAAAUUUAAAGCCACGUAGAUAGGUUAUUAUUUGGUGCUAUAUCCGCCAUUACUGCAGUUGGUUUCCAGCAGUUUGAAAAAUGAUUUUUCAGAAAUGGCUUUCACUUGUUACUCAGUGGCUUACAGCAACGGUCCCUAACCUUUUUGGCACCAAGGAGUGGUUUUAUGGAAUACAGUUUUUCCACAGACUGGCAGGGGGCGUGUGGAGGGAUGGUUUCGGGAUGAAACUGUUCCACCUCAGAUCAUAGGCAUUAGAUUCUCAUAAGGAGUGCACAGCCUAGAUCCCUUGCAUGUGCAGUUCACAAUAGGGGUCGCGCUUCUAUGAGAAUCUAACGCCCCCGCUGAUCUGACAGGAGGCAGAGCUCAGGCAGUAAUGCUUGCUAGCUCACCAGCCACUGUGUGGCCCAGUUCCUAACAGGUCACGAGCCAGUAAUGGUCCACGGCCUGGGGGUUGGGAACCCCUGGCUUACAGGGUCUUCACAUGCUUACUAACCACAGUUAUGUCACUUAAUCAGGUGUAAUAAAUGGCUGGUGUAAUUUUGACUCAACUUAAAGUGAUCAUAUUGUUUUAAUUGUGAAGCAUGUGAAUAAAUAAAUGAGAUUUCCACUGUCUCUAGUAUUAUAUACUUAAAAGCAGAGGCUUUGCAAAAUUACCAAGGGACGAUCCCGUUUGAUGUGUCUUUGGUUUGGCACGGGUGGAGCAGACAUGUGAGAUAUAGAAUGAAUGGGAGGCCUUCACACUUACUAUGUGGAAGGUGGUAGUUGAUCAUGAUGGUCAGUUCCAUAGGCCUCCAUCCAGGCCACUGGUGACACACUACCACUGUUGCCAUAAUUGUCAAAAGUCAUUUUAUGUGGGGCUUCUUCCUAGCAACCUCCCGCAAACACAUAGCUCCAUCUCUUCGAAGAGCUAAGAAAUUCUUAGCACUUGCCACCAUCUGACAUAUAUUUGUUCGUUUGUUUACUGAUUACAUUCCUCCCGUUAGUAUAUAAGCUCCAUGAUAAUAGAAACUUUGUCCACUAUUGUAUAUUUCUAACUCAUGAAACACUAUUGGCAUAUUAUAGUAUGCAGUUAAUACUAGAAUAAAUGGGAUUUCUGUUUGUUCUUACUGAGGUUUGCAAAACUUUGUGAAAGUGGAAUAUAAAGAUUCUCGUUGUUCUGUGUGCACUGGAGACAUGGAACGGAACUUGUGUUUUCCGAGUGAGGGAGACUCUGGCAGAGAGUUUAACUGCAAUCCAUUAUUCCCUGUGACUGGGCAGAAUUUAAAAAUUUUUAAGAGAAGAGAUGAAAAAUCUUCUGGAUUCCUACUUAAUUUAGACAUGGGUUUGGCUAUUAACGAAAAACUUUAACCUACCUACAGGGAAGGCUUUUUCCCUGUUACCCUUACUUCUCUCUCCUGGAUCUUAUGAGUGGAGAAAUGAGCCUUUGUUUCACUUACAAAUCCACAAAUAUUUAUGCUGUCAUAUGAACACAUGUGUAAGGCUGUGUCACAUGUUGUGGAAGAUACAAAGAGACAGAGGAUUCCUGAGAAUAUAACAAAGUUAAGAAUGAGUGUUAUUGAUUAAAACAAAAAUGGGACAUUUAGGUUAUAGUCGAGACCAUGUUCUUGUUUUUUAAAUGUGAGAUGUUUUUGGACACAGAGGUGAAAAAUUCUAAUGUCUCUAACUCCCCCAGAAGACCUUAGAUUGAUUUUUCUGAGAAGAAAUUUGUGAAUGAUUUGCGUAGAGAUUUUUUUGAGGUUAAGAAAUUAGAUGAGUUUCCCAGGGUGAAGAAAACAGGAGCAGAGAUUAUUGUUAAAAAUGGUCAUGGGUAGAGGGGUUAGAGGGCAAAGUAGGCAGAAUAGAAGCAUGUUUGUGUUUUAAGGAGGCUAAGAACCAGAAUAUAGCACUCAAAAAAGGAAAAUGCAAAUGCACUGUGAAUAGCUGCUACUGGUAGUGUAUUAAUUUCUUAGCUACAUGUAAACUUUUAUUAGGGUGCUUAUAACUAAGGUGAUGUGUAAUAUGUCAUCCAAACUUGGGUCACUUUUAAGAGUGAAAGGGUGUGCUAUCCGAAUGGGACACUGGACAACAGGUGUAUGAACCUUGACUGUUCCAGCAAAACCAGGACGGUUGGUCAUUCCUAACUAAUAACGUGCUUUUCUCCAGACUUAGUCUCAAUUCCUUUAACCUCUCCAGAAUUAUCUAUAAAUAAUUAUAGAUAUUAUACUAUAAAUGUUUUCUCCUUUGUAGUACUCUGAUCUGCACUUGCAGAGCCUCUCAAUUGUUGGUUUCUUUUUCCCUGUCCUGUUGGAAAGAAAGGAGAAUUUUUCUGCCCCCACCCUGGACCCUGCUUGGGUUCACAGCAUUGGUGGAGGUGGGGUUGUCAUUAUGAAACUUAAGAUCUUCAAAGAAGAGAAUGUAAUUUAUACCAUGGAUAUGUUAUUUUUUCAUGUUGGAGCACUGUAAUACUUUUGUUUUCUUAUUCAGUUUAAAUAAAAUUUUUAAUUCUUAUA